GGUCAGCAGCCCGACUCCCUUCCCUUCUCCCCUUUCAUCUUCUUCUCUUCGUCUCCAUCACGCGCACCCAAGACACACAGUGAGGCCGUGAGAGAGACGAUGCCACGAGAGAGAUUCAGAGUAGACCGAGACUGAGAGAGUAAGACGCGGUAAUGGGAGCCCGGGGUGGAGACCCGAUCAGUGGGUCGUCACCGGUGGCCGGAGCAGACGACGCCGGUGAUGCUAGGAGGUGCGAUUUUCGGUAGACUGAAGGUGAUUUCCGGCCGAUCCUUCGACGGGUUGUCAUCGGUGAGCCAGAGAAACUGAUGGGAGAGUUGGGUCCGGUGGAUCGUUGCCGGAGGAGCCUGAGGAGCCGAUCUUCUGAUGGGUCUUCAAUGGUGCAAAAUCCGGUGGAAUCAGGGGUUGAUUUCGGUGGCUGGGAGGUGUGAAUUCCGGUGAAAUUUCCGGUAGUUCCUAAGCUCGGUUUUAGUAGGAUAGAGUCUGGAUUGGAGACUUCAAUUGGUUCUCCAGUGUAGAGUUUGAGUCAUAAGUCCAAUGCAGCCAGGUAAGUAUUCUACUCAUUGAGAAGUAUUAUUUUCAUAUAUGAUGAAUUGAAAAAUAUACAUAUUGUUUUACAAACCUGAACCAACUGUAUCUUGAUUAUGAUUUGUUUUGGAUGAUUUGAAUACUUUUGAGUAUAUUGAAAUUAUGAUGAUGUUUUGAAGUAUAAAUAUGAUAUGUGAUUUUAGAGCGA